CCUCGUGUCCCCGUGUGCCCAUGUCCCCACGGCCCUGUGUCCCGUGUCCCCGUGUCCCCCCAUGUCCCGUGUCCCCCCGUGUCCCAUGUCCAAACACACCCGUGGCCCCAAGUCCCCGUGUCCACGUCCUGUGUCCCCGUGUCCCCGUGUCCGAUCGCACCCGUGUCUCCGUGCCCCAAUGUCCACCCCUGUCCCCACGCCCCCGUGUCCCGUGUCCGUGUCCCGUGUCCCCCGUGUCCCGUGUCCCCUCCCAGGCCACCCACGCUGGGCCGGGGCCGGGUGGGGACCGGGCAGACCGGCCCCACGGCCCCGUGACGACACCGGGUCCCCGUCACCGGCCCCGUGGGAUUUAAGGGCGGCCCCGGGGCCCCCACGGGCACCGACGGGACCCAGUGGCAGGAUGUGUGCGGGCGCCCAGUGUCUGAUGAACCUGCUGCGCUGGGCCUGGGGGGUCCUGAGGGGCCUCUGGGGGGGGCCCGGCGCGAGCACCCCCCCCCCCGCCGGCCGAGAGGACGACGCUGGUGCCGGGCAAAGAGGACUGAGCCCCCCCCCCGAGCCCCCCAACACCCCCAAAUCCCCCCCAACCCCCCCCCCCGGGUGAAUAAACGCCCUUGAACCCC